GGUUCAUUCAAAUUUCUGCCCUAUCAACUUUCGAUGGCAGGGUCUUGGCCUGCCAUGGUUACAACGGGUAACGGAGGGUUAGGGCUCGACCCCGGAGAAGGAGCCUGAGAAACGGCUACUACAUCCAAGGAAGGCAGCAGGCGCGCAAAUUACCCAAUCCCGACCGGGGAGGUAGUGACAAUAAAUAACAAUAUAGGGCUCUUUUGGGUCUUAUAAUUGGAAUGAGUACAAUUUAAAUCCCUUAACGAGGAACAAUUUGGAGGCAAGUCUGGUGCCAGCAGCCGCGGUAAUUCCAGCUCCAAUAGCGUAUAUUAAAGUUGUGCACGUUAAAAAGCUCGUAGUGA
rnacentral:rRNA from 1 species